rnacentral:sRNA from 1 species
GGCAGCGUCACCAAAAAGCGCAAGCUGGAGUCCACCGAGAGCCGCAGCAGCUUCUCACAGCACGCACGCACUAGCGGGCGCGUGGCCGUGGAGGAGGUGGACGAGGAGGGCAAGUUUGUCCGGCUGCGCAACAAGUCCAAUGAGGUAGGCUCCUGGUCAGGGUCUAAGGGGAUACAGCUGCAUCAGGGAGAGAGUGGCAAGACAGAGGGAUGGCAUGUGGAGAGAGGAACAUCCUUGCCCUCAGAGGGUGGACCAGGGUGAGCCUGUAUAUCUCUUCCACACUCUAGUUCCAGGCCUGGCUCCUGGACUCUUUGGCUGUGAGACCUUGAGCAGGUUAUUUAACCUCUCAGAGCAUCAGUUUCCUCAUCCGUAAAAUGGGGACGAAUAAUGAUCCCUAAGUCUUUGAGUUGUCGGGAAGAUGAAAGAUAAGGUAUCCGUGUGCCUGGUGCUGCGUAUGUGUCCACAGAUCAUGGCUAUUAUCCCCAGGGGGAAGGGCAGUGACAGGGGUGGGUGUAGAUGGAAGGAGAGGCCUCAAUUGCAGGCGGGCAGAGGGCUGAGCCUUUGAGCAAGAUACACCCAAGAGCCUGGGUGAGCCUCCCCCACCUUCCUCUUCUCUAUCUUCCCGGCAGGACCAGUCCAUGGGCAAUUGGCAGAUCAAGCGCCAGAAUGGAGAUGAUCCCUUGCUGACUUACCGCUUCCCACCAAAGUUCACCCUGAAGGCUGGGCAGGUGGUGACGAUCUGGGCUGCAGGAGCUGGGGCCACCCAUAGCCCCCCUACUGACCUGGUGUGGAAGGCACAGAACACCUGGGGCUGCGGGAACAGCCUGCGCACGGCUCUCAUCAACUCCACUGGGGAAGUAAGUAGGCCUGGGCCUGGCUGCUUGCUGGACGAGGCUCCCCCUGAUGACCAACAUCGG